AUUGAACGCUGGCGGCAGGCCUAACACAUGCAAGUCGAGCGGAGCGGCGGACGGGUGAGUAAUGCCUAGGAAUCUGCCUGGUAGUGGGGGAUACCGUCCGGAAACGGGCGCUAAUAUCGCAUACUAUCAGAUGAGCCUAGGUCGGAUUAGUUAGGUGGUGGGGUAAAGGCCUACCAAGGCGACGAUCCGUAACUGGUCUGAUAGGAUGUUCAGUCACACUGGAACUAAGACACGGUACAUACUCCUACGGGAGGAAGCAGUGUGGAAUAUUGAACAAUGGGCAAAGGCCUGAUCCAGCCAUGCCGCGUGUGUGAAGAAGGUCUUCGGAUUGUAAAGCACUUUAAGUUGGGAGGCGUUACCAACAGAAUAAGCACCGGCUAACUACGUGCCAGCAGCCGCGGUAAUUC
rnacentral:rRNA from 1 species